rnacentral:rRNA from 1 species
UACGUAGGGUGCUAGCGUUGUUCGGAAUCACUGGGCGUAAAGGGCGCGUAGGCGGCUUUGUAAGUCGGGGGUGAAAGCCUGUGGCUCAACCACAGAAUUGCCUUCGAUACUGGUUGGCUUGAGACCGGAAGAGGACAGCGGAACUGCGAGUGUAGAGGUGAAAUUCGAUAGAUAUUCGCAAGAACACCAGUGGCGAAGGCGGCUGUCUGGUCCGGUUCGUGACGCUGAGGCGGCGAAAAGCGUGGGGAGCAAACAGG